CGUAAAGCGCGCGCAGGCGGCCUUUUAAGUCUGAUGUGAAAGCCCCCGGCUCAACCGGGGAGGGUCAUUGGAAACUGGAAGGCUUGAGUGCAGAAGAGAAGAGCGGAAUUCCACGUGUAGCGGUGAAAUGCGUAGAGAUGUGGAGGAACACCAGUGGCGAAGGCGGCUCUUUGGUCUGUAACUGACGCUGAGGCGCGAAAGCGUGGGGAGCAAACAGGAUUAGAUACCCUGGUAGUCCACGCCGUAAACGAUGAGUGCUAAGUGUUGGGGGGUUUCCGCCCC
rnacentral:rRNA from 1 species